GAUGAACGCUGACAGAAUGCUUAACACAUGCAAGUCAUUGGCGAAGCUGCGCUUGCGCAGUCUAGCCAAGGCGGACGGGUGAGUAACGCGUAAGGAACUUGCCCUGCAGACAGGGAUAACAGACGGAAACGACUGAUAACACCUGGUAUUGUCAGGCUGGCGCAUGCCGGCCUGAUGAAAGGAGACGCUGCAGGAGAGCCUUGCGUCCUAUUAGCUAGUUGGUGGGGUAACGGCCCACCAAGGCGAUGAUAGGUAGCCGGCCUGAGAGGGUGAGCGGCCACAAGGGGACUGAGAUACGGCCCUUACUCCUACGGGAGGCAGCAGUGGGGAAUAUUGGACAAUGGGGGCAACCCUGAUCCAGCAAUUCUGUGUGCACGAAGAAGGUUUUCGGAUUGUAAAGUGCUUUCAGCAGGGAAGAAGAAAGUGACGGUACCUGCAGAAGAAGCGACGGCUAAAUACGUG
rnacentral:rRNA from 1 species